AUUGAACGCUGGCGGCAUGCUUUACACAUGCAAGUCGAACGGUAGCAGGUCUUCGGAUGCUGACGAGUGGCGAACGGGUGAGUAAUGCAUCGGAACGUGCCCAGUCGUGGGGGAUAACGCAGCGAAAGCUGCGCUAAUACCGCAUACGAUCUAUGGAUGAAAGCGGGGGACCGUAAGGCCUCGCGCGAUUGGAGCGGCCGAUGUCAGAUUAGGUAGUUGGUGGGAUAAAAGCUUACCAAGCCGACGAUCUGUAGCUGGUCUGAGAGGACGACCAGCCACACUGGGACUGAGACACGGCCCAGACUCCUACGGGAGGCAGCAGUGGGGAAUUUUGGACAAUGGGGGCAACCCUGAUCCAGCCAUGCCGCGUGAGUGAAGAAGGCCUUCGGGUUGUAAAGCUCUUUCGUCCGGGAAGAAAUCGCAUCAGCUAAUACCUGGUGUGGAUGACGGUACCGGAAUAAGAAGCACCGGCUAACUACGUGCCAGCAGCCGCCGUAAUAC
rnacentral:rRNA from 1 species